AUUGAACGCUGGCGGCAGGCCUAACACAUGCAAGUCGAACGAGUGGCGGACGGGUGAGUAAUGUCUGGGAAACUGCCUGAUGGAGGGGGAUGACUACUGGAAACGGUAGCUAAUACCGCAUACCAUCGGAUGUGCCCAGAUGGGAUUAGCUAGUAGGUGGGGUAAAGGCUCACCAAGGCGACGAUCCCUAGCUGGUCUGAGAGGAUGACCAGCCACACUGGAACGUAGACACGGGCCAGACUCCUACGGGAGGCAGCAGUGGGGAAUAUUGCACAAUGGGCGAAAGCCUGAUGCAGCCAUGCCGCGUGUAUGAAGAAGGCCUUCGGGUUGUAAAGUACUUUCAGCGGGGAGGCGUUACCCGCAGAAGAAGCACCGGCUAACUCCGUGCCAGCAGCCGCGGUAAUAC
rnacentral:rRNA from 1 species